rnacentral:rRNA from 1 species
CAGGUGCGUAUUUUAAGAUUGUUGCAGUUAAAAAGCUCGUAGUUGGAUGUGAAGAUAGAAUUGAAGCGAUAGCUGAGAUUCUAUCUAUGUGAUUGAAUGAUCUUACGAUCAUCCAAUCAAUGUACUUUGAGAAAAAGAAAGCGUUUCAGGCGGGCUUCCUACGCCCACAUACAACAGCAUGGAAUACUCUUACCACUCUUGAUAAGAUCUGGACAUUAUGAGGAAAUGAUUUGUAGGGACAGUUGGGGGUGCUGGUAUUGCUGGAGGACAGGUGAAAUUGUGUGAUUCUGGCAAGACGACCUAUAGCGAAAGCAUUCACCAAGGAUGUCUUCUGUGA